rnacentral:rRNA from 1 species
UCGUUUAGCGGCCGGACGGGGUGAGUAAUGCUUAGGAAUCUGCCAUUUAGUGGGGGACAACAUUCCGAAAGGAAUGCUAAUACCGCAUACGUCCUACGGGAGAAAGCAGGGGAUCUUCGGACCUUGCGCUAAAUGAUGAGCCUAAGUCGGAUUAGCUAGUUGGUGGGGUAAAGGCCUACCAAGGCGACGAUCUGUAGCGGGUCUGAGAGGAUGAUCCGCCACACUGGGACUGAGACACGGCCCAGACUCCUACGGGAGGCAGCAGUGGGGAAUAUUGGACAAUGGGCGGAAGCCUGAUCCAGCCAUGCCGCGUGUGUGAAGAAGGCCUUUUGGUUGUAAAGCACUUUAAGCGAGGAGGAGGCUACUAGUACUAAUACUACUGGAUAGUGGACGUUACUCGCAGAAUAAGCACC